AAACCAGCACCUCAAGUGGUCAGGAUGAUUAUUGGGCCUAAAGCAUCCGUAGCCGGCUCUGUAAGUUUUCGGUUAAAUCUGUACGCUUAACGUACAGGCUGCUGGGAAUACUGCAGAGCUAGGGAGUGGGAGAGGUAGACGGUACUCGGGAGGAAGUGGUAAAAUGCUUUGAUCUCUCGAUGACCACCUGUGGCGAAGGCGGUCUACCAGAACACGUCCGACGGUGAGGGAUGAAAGCUGGGGGAGCAAACCGGAUUAGAUACCCGGGUAGUCC
rnacentral:rRNA from 1 species